ACUGAUAGAUUUAAGUUUUAUGAAUUAAUUCAUCGAUUUAAUUGAUCUAGUUUUUAGAUAUUAGGGUUUCAAUUGUGUUCGAAUUGAAUUGAUUUUUUCUCUCCAAAUACAUUUUUCAGCCCAUUUUCUGUAUCUAGUUUCUAAUUUAUGUAGUUGUUGUGAUAAAUUUUAGCAUUUUCUUAUGGAUUGAUGUAUCGUGUAAAAUUAUUAUGAUAUCAAAUUGGGGGCAAGGAUAUGUGUGGGAGGUUUUCACUACCACCAGCGAACUCACCACCACCGCCGACGAACUACAAAGUUAGGGUUUUUAGGCUUUCCUUCUCUUGAAUUUCUUAUUAUGAAUUUAUGAAUUGCUCAAAGUAUUAGAAUUUCGAUUAAGUUAGGUUUUCUAAUUAGGACAAAUUGGUUGUUAUAUUUUGUUUAUUGACUAGCGAUUAUUGAAUGUUGUUAAUUUCCCAAAUUUUAUUGAAUGUAGAUGAUUUUUUUUAUUAGCAUUAAGUAGUGGAAGUUAUAUUGUUUGAGUUGCACACUAAGUGUUUGAUAAAAUUCCCAAAUGAGUUGUUUGGGUUGUUAACUCUAUGUUUUUUAAUUCAAUUUCUUGAAUUUUGAAUUUUUAGGUAUAAUACAGAUAAGUCGAAAAGGAUUGGGGCAGAAAUACGAGUUGUCCUUGGGAUUCAAAGUCGGAUUGUUGAAGAUAUUAGAAGUCUUGAGGGAUAGGGAAUUCUUAGGGUUGAAAAGCUUGUCAGAAUGAGCGCAAUUGUUCAGGAAUUUUCGGAUUUGCAUAAUAUAAGAUAUUCUUUCUCUCUCCUCCUUCUGUUUUCUCUGUCCUCCUCCAUAUCUUCUCUCUGCUAUUCACUCUCUUCAACCUCGCUGAUUAACGUUCCUGGUGCAAAUAUCUUCGCAUCAUCUUCUUUACAAAAAAUUCCAGGUGCAGUAGCCAUUCCUAGGUAGCGGCUAAUCAGGUAAUUUUGUUUCAGUUUUAGUGAUGGCACCCUGCUGUGACAAACGGUGGGAUCCAAUGGCCAUUGUAACUGACAAUACUGUUGGCAUACUAAUCGGAAUUCCUCCAAUCAGCAAUACCAACAGAUUGUCAAUUUCAUCUCUGUAUUUUCUGUGCUGAAUUGGGUACGUCACUAUUAACUCAACUACUAUUCUAACAACAGUCGGUAUUAUGCAGAAGUUUCUAAUCGUUGUCAACUCCUUCAUAUAUAUUUACUUAAUUAGCUAGCUUGGUAUAUAUGUAUAAUUUUAUAUAUAAAUAAUUUGUACAGUAGGGUAUUACUAUUACCUUUUGGAAGUGACCAACUUGGUUGGUGCUGUCAAUAAGGUGAGCAGCCUUGCCAAAGAAGGUGCGAACACCAGUGGAUAUUACAACAGCCUCGAUCUCACCUUGCUUGCAGGUGGAUCCUGAGAAAACUUCAUCACCAGGGUGUUUGAUUACAGUCAAGGAUUCACCAAGUUUUCUUCGGAGGUUAGACAACUUGAGUGGGAGUAGAUUGAUCGAUCUUGAGUGGGUCACACCCUCAACAUCUAAUAUCUAGCUUGAAGUUGAAACGCCUUGCACCUGUCCUAGUGUUGAAAAUGCUUUAUUUUCUGUUGUACAAAACAUGCAAGUAA